rfam:Hordeum vulgare subsp. vulgare, WGS project CAJW01000000 data, contig: morex_contig_1196433
AUGAUACUCCCUCCAUCCCAAAAUUCUUGUCUUAGCUUUGUUUAGAAAUGGAUGUAUCUAAAGACAAGGAUUUUGGGAUGGAGGGAGUACUUU